UACGAAGGGGGCUAGCGUUGUUCGGAAUUACUGGGCGUAAAGCGCACGUAGGCGGAUUUGUAAGUCAGGGGUGAAAUCCCGGGGCUCAACCUCGGAACUGCCUUUGAUACUGCAAGUCUCGAGUCCGGAAGAGGUGAGUGGAAUUCCUAGUGUAGAGGUGAAAUUCGUAGAUAUUAGGAAGAACACCAGUGGCGAAGGCGGCUCACUGGUCCGGUACUGACGCUGAGGUGCGAAAGCGUGGGGAGCAAACAGG
rnacentral:rRNA from 2 species